rnacentral:tRNA from 5 species
GCGGCCAUAGCUCAUCUGGUAGAGCGCCACCUUGCCAAGGUGGAGGUAGCGAGUUCGAGCCUCGUUGGCCGCUCCA